GACGAACGCUGGCGGCGUGCUUAACACAUGCAAGUCGAACGGAAAGGCCCUGCUUUUGUGGGGUGCUCGAGUGGCGAACGGGUGAGUAACACGUGAGUAACCUGCCCUUGACUUUGGGAUAACUUCAGGAAACUGGGGCUAAUACCGGAUAGGAGCUCCUGCUGCAUGGUGGGGGUUGGAAAGUUUCGGCGGUCGGGGAUGGACUCGCGGCUUAUCAGCUUGUUGGUGGGGUAGUGGCUUACCAAGGCUUUGACGGGUAGCCGGCCUGAGAGGGUGACCGGCCACAUUGGGACUGGGAUACGGCCCAGACUCCUCCGGGAGGCAGCAGUGGGGAAUAGUGCACAAUGGGCGGAAGCCUGAUGCAGCAACGCCGCGUGCGGGAUGACGGCCUUCGGGUUGUAAACCGCUUUCGCCUGUGACGAAGCGUGAGUGACGGUAAUGGGUAAAGAAGCACCGGCUAACUACGUG
rnacentral:rRNA from 1 species